UUAGAUUUGAGAAGGGUCAGUGCUAUCCGGGAUCAUUGGGAAGUCCCUACAUCAUUGAAGUGGACAUUUAAAACGGUUAAUGGUAAGGUUAAGGUGAGGGUUUAGUGUAGGGACGUCCCAAGGACCCCGGAUAGCAUUGGCCGUUUGAGAAGUGCGCUCCUCUCACUGCUUUUGCCGGUUCACUGUAACGGGCCAUAGACCUGUGCACCGCAUAUCAGGUUAAUAGAACGGCCUCAAAAGCGAUUAAGGAAAGUUUCCAACCGUGUCACGGCGGUCAAAGCACCUAUUUCCCCUAAAACCUUUGUCGCGUUAAAAAAAAAAAAGGCAAUUCGGAUGCAUCCGUCUUCAGUGCGUCCACGACAACUGGGAACUCGGAAAGAAAUAGCUCCGACUGAGUAAAAUCGUUUUGAACGGUCAUCCAAAGAAAAUCACUGACGUCAUGAUUUGACCACGUUUUGUACGAGUUACCAGUUGACUUGAAAGCACCAUACAUUCUCGGAGCUACACUAGAGGACACGGUUAUCGGUAAUAUUACAGCAACAAAGCCAUCCGGACGCGUGGAGGCAAACUGAGAAUGACUACCACAUGAGCGAGAAUACCGGGGAGAGGCUCAUUUAACGGUAUUUCUCCGGUAUAGGCUAAGCGGUAGAGUCUACAGACAAAAAUAGAAGACAAUAUGAUAAGCAGAUCAUCUUUUGCUGACUCGAAUAUUCUACACACUGUCAGUCAACAACAAUAGAAUGUAGUUUUAUAUGUCCUAUUCUCUUCACGUUUCCUGCUAUUGUUCAGUAACAACGAUACUACUGCUGCUGACUCGUCCUCUGGCUUUGCAGCAUCCAAAGCAGAUCACUCAGGGGAUGAGGGCUCUUUGGCGCAGUCCGUGAGAGAUGAGGUGAAAGCUGGAUUAGUUAAAUAAGGACCCUCGGUAAAUCUUACGGAGAAACAGGGGACAGUAGCGGGGCUAACCUCUGCGGACAAACCGGAGGAGGACAGUGAAUGCCGAUUCGUGGGGAAGAUAACGGAUCCGGUGGCAGCGGACAGGAGGACAGUUUGGGAGGAGGGGAUCCACGCUGCUGAAGUUAGGAUCCACGCUGGCGCGCACGAGGAAAAUGUGAAAUCUGGCAUGGUGAGGGCAGCAGAGUGGACACUCAGAUUCGUAAACCUUUGUGAUUUUCCCAGGGUGCAACGGGAGCAGCUGGCAGCCAUCUUCCAGCUGCUGAAGGAGAACCAGGAGAUGUUUGGGGAGAUGUCAGAGGGAGACAUGGAGGAGCAACUCUACUCCAUCUAAACCCCUAGUCUACUCACAGUCGACUGUACUACGUCUAACUCUACUUUUCCCAAACUCUACUCUAUGUUAAUCCCACAUAAAACUGACAAUCAAGACCAAGGUGCAUUCACACGGUCCACUGGGUUUCAAAGGGGGUGUUGUUUCAAAGGUCCACUCUAUUUUGAGGCACAUACUCUUCUCUAAAGAUUCUGAGGUGAUAGCUAAUCAGGCUUUGGAUAGUUGGGCCUGAGUGAUUUGAUUGGUCUGGUAAAAUCUGAGGUUCUUAUACCGUAGACACCCAUGAAAGCCAACAGUUUCAGCAAGCCUCACAUCAAACACUUAUCUGGACAGAUCUUACUCCUUUCAGCUAUUCCUUGCCUUGCCUCGGCCGUAUCCUUAUCUCACCCUUUCCUAUGGAGCACCCUUUCCCUCUAGACCCCUCUGUUUGAACAAACACAUCAUUGGUGCGAACACAAACAUGUACGUUAGAUACUUCAACACGGCUUCUGCUGUUUAUUACUU
rnacentral:lncRNA from 1 species